rnacentral:rRNA from 1 species
GACGAACGCUGGCGGCGUGCUUAAUACAUGCAAGUCGAGCGGACCCAGCAGAUUGUCUCUGGUUUCCAGAGACAAUCUGCGACGGUUAGCGGCGAACGGGUGAGUAACGCGUGGGUAAUCUGCCCCCAAGACCGGGAUAACAGUGCGAAAGCGCUGCUAAUACCGGAUAAUCUCCUCUUGUCGCAUGAUAGGGAGAGCAAAGCUCCGGCGCUUGGGGAUGAGCCCGCGUUCCAUUAGCUAGUUGGUGAGGUAACGGCUCACCAAGGCGACGAUGGAUAGCCGGCCUGAGAGGGUGACCGGCCACACUGGGACUGAGACACGGCCCAGACUCCUACGGGAGGCAGCAGUAGGGAAUUUUCGGCAAUGGGGGAAACCCUGACCGAGCAACGCCGCGUGGGGAAGAAGGCCUUCGGUCGUAACCUACUGUCUUUGGGGUACGGAGUAAUGACGGUACCCGGACGGAGGAAGGCCCCGGCCGUAACCUAACGUG